rnacentral:lncRNA from 1 species
UUGUGUGUUGAACUAAAAUGGUGAUACAAAAAUUUCCAAUCCCAAACUCAUCCCAAAAGGAAAACCCUUUCCUUUUCCAAAACCCCUUAGGCCGAAACCCUUCCUUCUCUCCAUCCAGCCCACAAUCCCGUAGCCCACCAACAGCCCACACCCACUCCACUCUCCUUCUCUCACUGACAGGCGGGCCCGUCCUGUUAGCCACCCUUCUCCCUCCCCCGUCUUCUUCCUCCCGCGCCUCCGCGUGCGCCCAUAUCGCCUUGCCGGCACCGCCGUCGCGUCCCAUCGCGGAGGAGAAGCUUCCCGAGCGCCGCACGUGUUCCGCGCGAAGGCGCGCCGACCCAUCCCAUCCUCAGCCCGAGCCGUCCCUUCCUCUUCCUCCCAUCACCUCCCCAUCUCUUCGAGCUCAGGGAAUGGCCGCCGCCUGCCGCCCCGGAUUCUCGCCGGAACUGAGGAUGAAGAGCUCCGCACCGCCUUUAAUUGAGUCCUUCAAGAACUUCCGUGAUGAAGAAGGAUUCAAUCUUGAUACGACUCC